UUAUAUUUUAGUUAUAAAGUCUCCAAAAUUAACUUUAAAAACAAAUUUUAAAAAUGCUUUUAGCAGAUAAUUUAUCGUAAUUCACACAAAUGAAAAAGAAUAUUACAUUUGGCUGCAGAACUCCAGGGGGAACAGCAACGGGGCUAAUGGCUCUGCGGCUGUGCCGGACCGCGACAGCUUUGAUGAAGCUAUCGUGCAGAAAAUAACAAGAUUUCUUCAAGAUCUCAACUCAAGCACUGUUGAUCCUAAUCCCAACCCAUCAGCAGAGAAUGCUCAACUCAUCUGAUAUACAGGUGAACGGUACCCAAAAUCUUUGGCCAUCAUGACAAUAAAAAUGGCAGUAAAUGCCAACACAAAAGUGAAAAACCCAUAUUUAAUGUUCUUCUUUGAGGAGGUUUGCCUGCAAGAACGAUAAGAAAAUAAAGAAGAAACUUACAGGUACACAGCAAUUCACCAAUAAAGGAACUGUGCCAACAUGCAUAGGCUCAUAAAUAGAUCUUGGUGGAAAGGAAAAAUCCAGACAAGUACUAGCAAUUAAUAAAUAGCAUUGAAGAUCAAAUAAAUAAAUAGCAGACAGAUUUCAAUGAAAUCCUAUAAACAAUUUGCAGCAGAUAAGCUAAAGGAUGAAAAUAGAGCUCGUGACCCCUUGUUUGUCAGCAACUGCUAAAGGACUGAAUGGUAAAAAAAAAAAGAACAUCAGAAUUCUUCUCUCGUUCAGUUUCUAUUUCAAGUUCCAACAAUAAGAACAAAAGGGCAAGAAAGUUUCACACCAUCUAUGUACAAAGAUGAGGCAAAAUCUGGGAGCACUAAAUAAAAAUUAAUUAAAUUAAUGUUAUGCAAACCUGGGAAGUUUAAAUAUUACAAAACUUUUCUUUUUCUUUUUCUUUUUUUGGAUAUCUUAGGUUGUGCUUUGGCAUAAAAAUUAGUGUAGGGUUACAGCGUGGUUGUGUGUGAAUUUAGUCAGCAUGGUUGUGUGUGAAUUUAGUCAUUUACCUUGCAGUUUCUUUGUUAUAUUUACAACAGGAGGGGUGUUAGUGUUUUUAAGCAUAAUUAGAAAUUAGAUACAUUACUUCAAGAAAUGAAGAUUUUUGACGGUUCAUGUUGGUAACUUGCAACCAAUUCUGGCUAAGAGCUUUGGUUAAUUUUCAAUACUGCUUUUCUGUUGAGCAGUUUUCUAAUGCGCUUAGGUUAUCUUUUCUUUUGACUGGGUGAUUUGAUGAAAGUUAUUGCUCUUGCAAUGGAGAUUCUGAAUAAUUAUCGUUAGCUACUGCUUUCCCUCAUUCUCCUCUGUUUAUUUCUUCUCGAUGAUGUAUAACUUAUAUAAUAAGUUCAUCAGGCUUGCUUAGAUAUAUAUGCUGACUUUACAAAACAAAAUGCUGGUUGUUCACUUCAUUGGCUAAGCUUGGAUAGUCAAUGCAAUUUUAGUAUGUGUUAUUUAUGUAGAAAUGCAGAAUAAAACUAGUUCUCAUGUCCAGUGCUUUAGAGAUCUGCAAAGUUAGUUGCAGUCAGUUCCUUUUGUAAUAUUCUUUGGGAUAUUAGUUUACCAGUUGUAUGUGAUAAUGUGCAUGUUACCGGGGCAUUGAAUGAUCUCUCUCUCUCUCUCUCUCUCU
rnacentral:misc_RNA from 1 species